rnacentral:tRNA from 1 species
CGGGGUGUAGCGCAGUCGGCUAGCGCGCUGCGUUUGGGACGCAGAGGUCGACGGUUCGAGUCCGCCCACCCCGACCU